rnacentral:misc_RNA from 1 species
GUCCUUUAAACGACCUCCUGCACCCCAAGAUAGCACCUUUCCAAAGGGCUGCACCAAUUGUUGAGAUAUUGCAGCAACAGGAGUCCUCCAAAACCAGCAAAUCAACAUAAAGUAUGUUGCAAUCUUUAAGAUAAAUAUUAUUUUGAGGUAUAAAUCAUAAGACAGCUUGAUCUCCUUGUUGUGCAUUUCUUCACGAUUUGCAAGUUCCUUCUCCUUUGCAGCAGC